UUAAUGAAAUAUCGCAUGCGCUAGAAAAAGCGACACCGCUAGCAACACUCUGUCAGUGCGGAUGUGGAACUUUUCUCUACCUUUUCAUUAUGUACGAGUCAACUGACCAGUAAUUUUAAGAUUAGAGGCAAUGGGUGCAACACCGAGUCGCUAUGAAGAUCUCUCCAAGAAUGUGCACCUGGGAAGAUUCUGUGGGAGACAAAGCAUACCAACGAAUGAUCCAUUUUGGAGUACAUUUCUAUCUUAUAAUAUACGACCACCUAUUACAAGGAAUGAUCAGAUAGAAUUGGAUUCUCGUUUGGAUUCAUCGUGUCAACAAUUACUUGUUAAUAAUUUGAUUACUGGCAAUUUUGGUACUCUGAUACAAAUAACUUUGAUACGCAUCAAUGAGUUAUUAGCACCUGUACAGAAUCAAAAUAUAAUAUCGGCAUGGCAAACAUACAAUGCAUUGUUUGCUGUACGAUGUAUUUUAAAGUAUUUCAUUGAGAUUGUUGGUGAAGAACAAAUGCUAAAUCAUAUUGAAGCACCACAAACAACAAAUGAUGCACUUCCUUCUUAUAGAUUAGCGUAUUUUAUUGAAGCAUUGAUUGAACUUAUUACAGAUGUACCUUUAUGUGAAUUUACAUAUGUUGUUCACUUGGAGGCGAUUAAUUGUUUACUUGUGUUGCUCUCGGUGCAAUUAUUUUCUCAAACUGCAGCCGAAUACAGCACAGUAUAUAGGAUAGCGAUGCACGCGCAUCUGAAUCAACAUGCACCUACUAUGGUGUGUACACUGUUGCACAAUUUUAUUCAACAGGAACACGCUCCUCCAGGAUUACUAACGCAACAGUCGGGGGGUAGUAUUGUAUUCAGUAUUGCUGCUGGGUUGUGGAAUGUAAUAAGAAUGGGCAUAGGCAGUAGUUCGAAAAAUAUACAGGUUACACAUAAUGGCACUGCUGAAGAUGAAGAGAAAAAACGCGAUACGGAAACUCCGCUCGCUAGUCAAUCCCUAUUACUUUUACUGGUUCUGACGAAUCACUGUACCGCUACACAAAAUCCAUAUAGAAAUGCGCUUUUCUCUUUUAUAGAUAUGCAAGAAGAUCAUACUAUAUCGCAAGGGAAAGCAGUUGAUACCUUUAAAUUUAAUUUAAAUAAAUUAUAUAAUACCAUUUGUAAAGUACCAAAUACAGACGAAGUCACGCUUCUUCUCUAUAUGCUAUUACAUAGAAACUCGAGUGUAAAACAAGAUAUAAUGAGAAGGCCUGAUAUACAACUACUGGUAACUCCAAUAUUACAAAUAUUAUAUCAUGCGCCAAAUAAUACAUCCCAUCAUAUUUAUAUGUCUCUUAUCAUCUUGCUAAUUUUAAGCGAAGAUGAAACGUUUAACAAACGAAUACACGAAAUUAUGCUUAAAGGUGUAACAUGGUAUACUGAGAGAUCCAUAAGCGAAAUAUCGUUAGGUGGUCUUUUAAUUCUUGUAGUGAUUCGCACGAUACAAUAUAAUAUGUUUAAAAUGAGAGAUAAAUAUCUUCACACAAACUGUCUGGCAGCCUUAGCAAACAUGUCUGCCCAAUUCACAUCCUUACACCCUUACGUUAGUCAGAGGUUAUUAAGUCUAUUUGAAACUCUUGCGAAAAAGCAUGCACGGUUAGAAGCAAGAAUUCUAGAAUUAACACAGUCGACAACUCUCCCUUCCAAUAAUAGUGUUGUUCUUGAUACGACUGUUGAUACGACAAUUAAUGUUCAUACCAAAUCUGGAAAAGCCAAUGCUUCCACUGUUUCCACUGUUACAAAUGAAGAUUUGAUUCAAGACUUGACUAUACUUGAGGAAGUCUUACGGAUGGUGUUAGAAAUUAUAAAUAGUUGUUUAACCCAUAGAUUAGCGCACAAUCCGAAUUUAAUUUACACUCUAUUAUAUAAAAAAGAUGUCUUUCAACCAUUUAGGACACAUUCUGCUUUUCAAGAUAUUGUACAAAAUAUUGAUUCUAUCAAUCACAAUUAGGUGUUAGUCAAGUAUUAUCCACUAUACGACAAGGAACUUUAGAAUGGCCAAGAGAUCGUUUAAGAAAAUUCCCAGAAUUGAAGUUCAAAUACGUAGAAGAAGAACAACCGGAGGAAUUUUUCAUUCCUUAUGUAUGGAGUGUCGUUU
rnacentral:misc_RNA from 1 species